GUCUCUAGCUGGAGAUCACUCCUUUUGGAGUCCUUCUGUGAGCCCUGGAAACAGUUUAUCUUCUUGAUCAAACUGUCCCUGCAAGAGCUGCUGUCUGUGUCUUACCAGAAGACGCUGCUUAUUACACACAGCCAAGCAGGACUUCCUGUUAAUCCAGAUGGAAAUGUAGAGCUGGAAUCAUUGUCCUCUUCCUUGGCUCUUAUGGACUUGCCUUAUUCUGUCUUUAAGAAAUUAGUUUUAGUAUUUUAUUAUUAUAUAUAGCUAAGAGUUUGAGUAUGUUAUGUUUCAGUAGCCUAACAAAAAGUGAGUAGGGUAGCUAUAAAUAUAUUACUGCCCAUUUAUUCAUUUUUACAAUCUGUUGCAAUACACCAUACAGCAAGGGCACAGCUUCUUAUCAGCUGUUGUAUGGUUAUUUUCAUGCAUGUUAAAAAGUGAGCUUCCACUAUACCUGAGUUGGUCAAAGCAGGACUUGUGUGCAGUCCCCGGACCAAUGGAAGGCCCAAAGCAGACAUAAAACAGGUUUAAAUCUCUGUAACAUCUGAACACCGUUUCCUGUCUCUAGUUCUCAUUUUUAUAUUUGGCAUAAGCUUCUAUGACCUUUACUCCUAUUCUUUAAAGGGAUAACUUUUAUAGCAGUGGGGGAGAUUUGGCCUCACAUGUCUAAAACUUCUACUGAAUUCCACUUGUACCAUAUGUGCCUAUAAUGGUUUAUGUUGAUUUAGUGCUGUGAGUUGUAAUCCCAUUCUCCCCACCUCCUCAUCCCAAAAGAGCUCAGAAAUCACUUGCACUAGUUAAUUAAAGACUUUAUUACACAUAGCUGGCUGUAACCAGAGUUGUUAGAGUUCUACUCCCUCCCUGUGUCCACUCCAAUUUUUGUACCAGUAAAUGUUCAGAAGUUUCUAUUGCAAAUGCCUAGAAUAAUUAAUACGAAUAAUGAGUAUUCUGGAUUAAUGAAAUGUAUAGUUCACACCUAUGUCUCUUAAAUCACACAUACCUAACACUUGGGAUAUGUGGCCAUACUCUAGUAGUAAGGAACUUAGAAGAGCAACUGCACUGUAGUAGUAUCACUCAGAUGUUAUUGGUUUAACUGAAAAAUUCUUAGGGAUCUGCAAAAUGAAAAAUUUGAGGAAACACUGGAUUAAAAGCAAGGGUCCAUAGGAAGAGUAUAAGGGAUUACUUUUUCUCCAUCUGAAUUAAAACUGGUCAAAGGAGAUGCUGGAACUCUCCUUACACCACUCCUCCAUUUCCAUAGAGAGUUCCCUGUCCUUUUAAAUCUCACUUUAAAACAGAUAAUUUUGUCUAGCUGGGACAUAAUAAUAAUAAUCACUUUCACAUUUAACUUGCUUGAGAUGCACAAAUAUUCCUUUUCUCUUGUAAAGAUCAAGACAAGCAUUACUCUUACACUUGGUACUCUCACACCUCUAAAGCACACAUUUUAGGACAAGUCUCUGGACAAUAGUCAGCAGUAUUUUGAACUCCAGUAAUGUCUUGUCACUAUAAAUUCUGUAAUACAAAAUUUCUGUCCAUUAAAUAUUCACCUUGUCAAAGUAGUUUUGGAACCCAGAUGUCCCAGCUGAGCAAACCUAAAACAGUUAUAUUUAAUGUUUGUCGUCUUUUGCUCUUUCACUAUUUGUUGCCUGUAGCCGCUUUGUUGCCCUGCAUCAGUUUGUGAGCUUUCACUGUAAUAGGAACAUUAUUGUUGACACAGACAUCAAUGAGGUUAUUUCCAUG
rnacentral:lncRNA from 7 species